CAUCACAUUAUUCUGCAUGACGUCAGCACUGAACUUUUAUCCCUCUCUGUGUCAGGUGUGGCCUGAUUUACUGCACACCAGUUCUUAUUUACUGCACCCUCCAAAUCCUCCUUGUGGUUUUCAGUAGAUAUUUAUUCAGGGUGACCAAACGGAUAGAUGAAAGAAGGAGAAAAAAGGAGAAUAGUGGCUGAAGAAUGAUGAAGCUUAAAAAUCUGAGCAGAGGAGGUUACGGGCAGAAGACCUGGUAAAAUGCAAAUUUCAUAUACAAAGAAUUGGUAACUAUAGUCUCUCAGGAAAGAAAGAAAAAAAACACAGACUAUGCCUGACUGACAUGGAAACUGAAGCAAGCACUGAAGGAAGCAAGCAGUAAGUGCCAAGAUCUCUGGCCUACAAAAUGUCUGCUAGAAGAGACAGAUUAUGUCCUGAUGACACCAUGCUUCUUUGCAGAAUGCAGCUCUGGAGCAGUGACACAUACUGCUGGGUUAACUCAGUGCAUGGAUAUGUUAAACAUAAAUGUAUGGUAUCAACCA